AUAGAACUAAGUUACUUAUCGGUUAUAAAUCUGACCCAGGGCUCCCAUACUUCCUGGAAGAGUGUCUGUUUAUGGGAGAUGGAGGUGUGUAUUUCCUCCAUGGUCCUGAGUUUAUCUACCUAGGUGAUCCAUUCCCUGAUCGAUGGAGCUGCAGGGUUUUUCCACUUUGCAGGGAUGAGCAGGUUGGCUGCUGUUAUCAGGUGGAUAAGGAGGAGUCGAUGUGGUUUGGGGAGUUUCAUGAACAGUAGUGUCUGUGGGUUAAGAGGUAGUUGAAUACCCGUUAUCGUUUUGAGCAAUUUCUCUAUAUCAUUCCAGUAUCUCUGGAUUAGCGGGCAAUGCCACCAGGUAUGGGCUAGGGAUGCUCCUGGUUGGAUAAAUC